rnacentral:rRNA from 1 species
CGAGACCUCAGGUCAGGCGGGGCUACCCGCUGAAUUUAAGCAUAUCAAUAAGCGGAGGAAAAAGAAACUAACAAGGAUUCCCCUUAGUAACGG